rnacentral:piRNA from 1 species
UGGAAUAAUCAGGAAAUUUUUGGUUUUGC